rnacentral:rRNA from 1 species
GACGAACGCUGGCGGCGUGCUUAACACAUGCAAGUCGAACGGUGAAGCGCUUGCCUUUUUGGUGGGUGUGGAUGAGUGGCGAACGGGUGAGUAACACGUGAGUAACCUGCCCUCUUCUUCUGGAUAACCUCAUGAAAGUGGGGCUAAUACGGGGUAUUCCGGGUCUGUCGCAUGGCGGGUUUGGGAAAGAUUGCGCCUUUGGGUGUGUUCGUUGGGGGAUGGGCUCGCGGCCUAUCAGCUUGUUGGUGGGGUGAUGGCCUACCAAGGCGGUGACGGGUAGCCGGACUGAGAGGGUGGACGGCCACACUGGGACUGAGACACGGCCCAGACUCCGGCGGGAGGCAGCAGUGGGGAAUAUUGCACAAUGGGCGCAAGCCUGAUGCAGCGAGGCCGCGUGAGGGAUGGAGGCCUUCGGGUUGGGAACCUCUUUCGGCAGUGAAGCAGGCCUGCUCCUGUGUGGGUGGGUUGACGGUAGCUGGAUAAGAAGCGCCGGCUAACUACGUG